rnacentral:rRNA from 1 species
GGGGAAGGGUAGCUUGCUACCUGACCUAGCGGCGGACGGGUGAGUAAUGCUUAGGAAUCUGCCUAUUAGUGGGGGACAACAUUCCGAAAGGAAUGCUAAUACCGCAUACGCCCUACGGGGGAAAGCAGGGGAUCUUCGGACCUUGCGCUAAUAGAUGAGCCUAAGUUCAGAUUAGCUAGUUGGUGGGGUAAAGGCCUACCAAGGCGACGAUCUGUAGCCGGGUCUGAGAGGAUGAUCCGCCACACUGGGACUGAGACACGGGCCAGACUUCUACGGGAGGCAGCAGUGGGGGAAUAUUGGACAAUGGGGCCGAAAGCCUGAUUCAACCAUUCCCGGGUGUGUGAAGAAGGCCUUUUGGUUGUAAAGCCCCUUUAGCCGAGGAGGAAGCUUCUUGGAAUUAAAACUUUUGGAUAGGGGACCGUUCCUCCCAAAAUAACCCCCGGUUAACUUUGGCCCAAAACCCGGGGAAUACAAAAGGGGCGAGGGUUAUCGAUUUUCUG